rnacentral:rRNA from 1 species
AUAUUGUACAAUGGUCUAAAGCCUGAUCCAGCCAUGCCGCGUGUGUGACGUAGGUCUUCGGAUUGUAAAGCACUUUAAGUUGGGAGGAAAGGCAGUCAGUUAAUACCUUGCUUUUUUUACGUUACCGACAGAAUAAGCAACUUCUAACUUCGUGCAAGCAGCCUCGGUAAUACGAAGUGUGCAAGUGUUAAUCGGAAUUACGGGGCGUAAAGCGCGCGUAGGUGGUUUGUUAAGUUGGAAGUGAAAGCCCCGGGUUGAACCUGGGAACUGCUUUCAAAACUGGCAAGCUAGAGUAUGGGAGAGGGUGGUGGAAUUUCCUGUGUAGCGGUGAAAUGCGUAGAUAUAGGAAGGAACACCAGUGGCGAAGGCGACUACCUGGACUGAUACUGACACUGAGGUGCGAAAGCGUGGGGAGCAAAC